rnacentral:rRNA from 1 species
AACGAACGCUGGCGGCAGGCCUAACACAUGCAAGUCGAACGGGACCUUCGGGUCUAGUGGCGGACGGGUGAGUAACGCGUGGGAACGUGCCCUUUGGUUCGGAAUAGCCCCGGGAAACUGGGAGUAAUACCGGAUAAGCCCUACGGGGGAAAGAUUUAUCGCCAAAGGAUCGGCCCGCGUUGGAUUAGGUAGUUGGUGAGGUAAUGGCUCACCAAGCCGACGAUCCAUAGCUGGUUUGAGAGGAUGAUAAGCCACAAUGGGACUGAAACACGGCCCAGACUCCUACGGGAGGCAGCAGUGGGGAAUCUUAGACAAUGGGGGAAACCCUGAUCUAGCCAUGCCGCGUGAUCGAUGAAGGCCUUAGGGUUGUAAAGAUCUUUCAGUGGGAAAGAUAAUGACUGUCCCCACAGAAGAAGCCCCGGCUAACUCCGUGCCAGCCGCCGCAGUAACAC